rnacentral:lncRNA from 1 species
CAGAAAGGGAAAGGAGAGGAGUAAAGAGGAAAAGAGAACAGUGGUGGGUGCCUAUAAAGAGCCACACACCUUGCUGCAUGCUCUAUAUGUGGGCUAUUGUUUGUUCUCACAAUGAAUCUGAGUAGUAGAUAUAGCAUGCCCAUUUUCCAGGUAAUUGCUGAAGGAUUUUUGCUUCAAACAGGCUCUUGUUUGCAUCAAGUGUGGGGUGCAGCAAAGUGGACUCGGGACUGGCCGAUGUCUGGCCAGAAAUGCCAGGCAAGGGAAACAGUGACUCUAGUGGGGUCAGGAGAGGGGCAUCUGCUGGCCCAGGAGCGCAAGGCAGAGGGACUUCAUUGUCCCCCUUAUAGGUGAGGCGACUCUGAGGCAGGAGGUCCAAGUUUGCUGGACAAUGGCAGAAACAGAAUUCAAACACCUGUCUUCUAGGAGAAGUUCUGGUCUCUCCUCGGUGCUGCGGCUGCCCCGGGAAGAGUUUCCAGGAGCUGACAAGCAUUCAGAUGAGUAAAGAUGGGAUCGGAUUGAGAAAAGGAGAAGGGAGAGCAUAUUCGUUCUCUUUCCACCUCCCUCCCACAGCCUUUCAUGCUGAUCUCAUCUGACGAAGCUGCCUCCUCCUCCCUGGACUCUACAAGCCCCUGUCAUGAUGUUUCUCAGAUCCUGAAUUCCAGCGAAACAGAUGAUACUAACAAGUUUGAAGACCCCCACAGAGGAAUGGAAUCAGUAUGAGAACACAGUUUCUUCAUCUCCCUGUCCCAGAACUUCACCCUGGACUCCUCGACCAAUCAACAAUCUCCACACUUCGGCCCACUCCAAAACUCCUAAAAUCCCAAGCUCCAAACUCCUCUGGGAGAUGGAUUUGAGGCUUCCUCCCGUUUCCUUGUGUGGAAGCCCUGUCAUUAAACCUCUUUCUCUGCUGC